GACGAACCGUACGAACGUUAUUCGGAAUCACUGGGCGUAAAGCGCACGUAGGCGGCUUUUUAAGUCAGAGGUGAAAUCCUGGAGCUCAACUCCAGAACUGCCUUUGAUACUGGAGAGCUUGAGUCCGGGAGAGGUGAGUGGAACUGCGAGUGUAGAGGUGAAAUUCGUAGAUAUUCGCAAGAACACCAGUGGCGAAGGCGGCUCACUGGCCCGGUACUGACGCUGAGGUGCGAAAGCGUGGGGAGCAAACAGG
rnacentral:rRNA from 1 species